rnacentral:rRNA from 1 species
GAUGAACGCUAGCUACAGGCUUAACACUGCAAGUCGAGGGGAAACGACAUCGAAAGCUUGCUUUUGAUGGGCGUCGACCGGCGCACGGGUGAGUAACGCGUAUCCAACCUGCCCACCACUUGGGGCUAACCUUGCGAAAGUAAGACUAAUACCCAAUGAUAUCUCUAGAAGACAUCUGAAAGGGAUUAAAGAUUUAUCGGUGAUGGAUGGGGAUGCGUCUGAAUAGCUUGGUGGCGGGGUAACGGCCCACCAAGGCUACGAUCAGUAGGGGUUCUGAGAGGAAGGUCCCCCACAUCGGAACUGAGACACGGUCCAAACUCCUACGGGAGGCAGCAGUGAGGAAUAUUGGUCAAUGGACGAGAGUCUGAACCAGCCAAGUAGCGUGCAGGAUGACGGCCCUAUGGGUUGUAAACUGCUUUUAUAAGGGAAUAAAGUGAGUCUCGUGAGGCUUUUUGCAUGUACCUUAUGAAUAAGGACCGGCUAAUUCCGUGCCAGCCGCCGCCGUAA